rnacentral:rRNA from 1 species
GGACCCGCACAAGCGGUGGAACAUGUGGUUUAAUUCGAAGCAACGCGAAGAACCUUACCAGGGCUUGACAUCUAACCAAUCUCAGCGAAAGUUGGGAGUGCUCUUCGGAGAAAGUUAAGACAGGUGGUGCACGGUUGUCGUCAGCUCGUGUCGUGAGAUGUUGGGUUAAGUCCCGCAACGAGCGCAACCCUCGUCGUUAGUUGCAUAUAUCGGUACACUGAUAUAUUGCUCUCUAGCGAGACUGCCGGUGAUAAACCGGAGGAAGGUGGGGAUGACGUCAAAUCAUCAUGCCCCUUAUGUCCUGGGCUACACACGUGUUACAAUGGCUGGUACAACGAGCUGCCAACUCGCAAGAGUGAGCAAAUCUCUAAAAGCCAGUCUCAGUUCGGAUUGGACUCUGCAACCCGAGUCCAUGAAGUCGGAAUCGCUAGUAAACGCAGAUCAGCACGCUGCGUUGAAUACGUUCCCGGGUCUU